GACGAACGCUGGCGGCGUGCCUAAUACAUGCAAGUAGAACGCUGAAGGAGGAGCUUGCUUCUCUGGAUGAGUUGCGAACGGGUGAGUAACGCGUAGGUAACCUGCCUGGUAGCGGGGGAUAACUAUUGGAAACGAUAGCUAAUACCGCAUAAUAGUAGAUGUUGCAUGACAUUUGCUUAAAAGGUGCAAUUGCUUCACUACCAGAUGGACCUGCGUUGUAUUAGCUAGUUGGUGAGGUAACGGCUCACCAAGGCAACGAUACAUAGCCGACCUGAGAGGGUGAUCGGCCACACUGGGACUGAGACACGGCCCAGACUCCUACGGGAGGCAGCAGUAGGGAAUCUUCGGCAAUGGACGGAAGUCUGACCGAGCAACGCCGCGUGAGUGAAGAAGGUUUUCGGAUCGUAAAGCUCUGUUGUAAGAGAAGAACGAGUGUGAGAGUGGAAAGUUCACACUGUGACGGUAUCUUACCAGAAAGGGACGGCUAACUACGUG
rnacentral:rRNA from 1 species